AAGUUGGCCGCUGCCAGGACCUCACUUCCCAGCGCCGUGGGGCUGUAGCAGGGCGCCGUGGGGCGCCAUGGGGCACCGUGGGGCGCCGUGGGAGCUGGCCGUGGGGCAGAGCCAGGCGCUGUGGGGCACCGUGGGAGCCGGCCGUGGGGCAGAGCCGGGCACUGCUGCCCCCCAGCCAGGACCACCGCCCCGUCCGUCUUCCCCUUGAUGGCCUGCGGCGACGGCGGCUCCGAGCUCACCGUGGCCUGCUUCGUCAACGGCUUCUUCCCCGAGCCGGUGACGGUGACGUGGGACGGCGCGGCGGCCCACAAGCGCAUCCUGACCUUCCCCGCCGUGAAGCAGCCUUCCUCCGGCCUCUUCAGCCUCAGCAGCCAGCUCACCGUGCCGGCCGACAGCAGCAGCACCUACACCUGCGUCGUGGUCCACACGCCCUCCGGCUCCCGGAAGACGGUGCAGGUCGAGGGAAAACCCCAGCCCAAGCCGGCAGCCCCCACCGUGCGCCUGCUCUACAGCUGCACGCCGACGACGGUCGAGCUGCACUGCCUCAUGUCGCACUUCUACCCCAAAGAGGUGCGGGCGCAGUGGCGGGCGGACGGGGCGGCCACGACGCUGGUGCCGCACGAGGAGCCCGUCACGCCCGACGCCCGCGGCGGCACCUUCAGCACCAGCAGCCAGAUCACCGUCUCCACCGCCGAGUGGCUGGAGAAGACCUUCUCCUGCCAGGUCACCCACCCCGGCUCCGGCACCGUGCUGGAGGAGGUCGCCCGCAAGUGCCCAGGUGACGGCCCGAGGGACAGCGGCAUCCAGGUCUUCGUGACGCCGCCGAGCCCCGCGGAGCUCUACAUGUCGCAGAACCCGCAGCUGCGGUGCCAGGUCUCCAACAUGCCCAGCGACGACGGGCUGCGGGUGGACUGGGCCGGCGACCGCUCGGGCUCCCUCAGCCCGCUGCCCCUGCAGCUCCACGAGCAGCUCAACGGCACCUUCACCGCCAUCAGCGUGCUGCCCAUCUCCACCCGCCACUGGGACGAGGGCGAGACCUUCACCUGCACCGUCAUCCACAGCGAGCUCCCGGGGCCGUCCGUCCACCCCAUCGCCAGGAAGUCCGGCCGGCGCCUGGCGCCCAGCGUCUUCCUGCUGCCGCCGCCCGCCGAGGAGCUGAGCAGCAGCGGCGACACGGCCACGCUCACCUGCCUGGUGACCGGCUUCUACCCCUCGGAGGUCUCGGUGCAGUGGCUGCAGAACCAGGCGGCGGCGGAGCCCGGCACCGCCAGCACCGGGGCCCCGGCCCGCGACGCGGGCGCCGACGGCGCCUUCUUCCUCUACAGCCGGCUGGUGGUGGCCAAGGCGCAGUGGCAGCACGGCUCCAGCUUCGCCUGCAUGGUGGUGCACGAGGCGCUGCCCAUGAAGUUCGUGCAGCGCUCCGCCAGCCGCGGCCCCGAUCUCAGCCUGCCCGAGGACCUCUGCCACCUCGCCCCCGAGCAGCUCAACGGGCCCUGGGACACCAUCGCCGUCUUCAUCACCCUCUUCCUCCUCAGCGUCUGCUACAGCGCCACCGUCACCCUCUGCAAGGUCAAGUGGCUGCUGGCCACCGUGGUGCAGCUGAAGGGGGUCCCGGGGCCCGGCGCCAAGGGCGGCUUCCACCAUGCCGCGUAGCCCCCGCCGCCGCCGC